ensembl:snRNA U6 U6 spliceosomal RNA
GUGCUCUGCUUGGCAGCACAUAUGCAAAAAUAGGAAAGAUACAGAGAAGAUUAGCAUGGCCCUUAUGCAAGGAUGACACACACAUUUAUGAAGCAUUUUAUAUUUUU